rnacentral:rRNA from 1 species
UACGGGGAGCAGCAGGCGCGAAAACUGCGCAAUGCGCGAAAACGCGACGCGGGAAUUCCAAGUGCUACUACUUAGUAGUAGCUGUUCGAGAUCCUAAAAAGAUCUUGAAGUAAGGGCUGGGUAAGACGGGUGCCAGCAGCGCGGUAA